AUACGGAGGAUGCAAGCGUUAUCCGGAUUUAUUGGGUUUAAAGGGUGCGUAGGCUGACGUGUAAGUCAGAGGUGAAAUGCCCGGGCUCAACCUGGGAACUGCCUUUGAUACUGCAUGUCUGGAGUUCGGAUGCCGUGGGAGGAAUGGGCAGUGUAGCGGUGAAAUGCAUAGAUAUUGCCCAGAACACCGAUUGCGAAGGCAUCUCCCGAAUCCGACACUGACGCUGAGGCACGAAAGCGUGGGGAUCAAACAGGAUUAGAUACCCUGGUAGUCCACGCAGUAAACGAUGAUAACUAACCGUCGGCGAUAGACAGUCGGUGGCCAAGCGAAAGCGAUAAGUUAUCCACCUGGGGAGUACGUUCGCAAGAAUGAAACUCAAAUGAAUUGGCGGGG
rnacentral:rRNA from 1 species